GAGCUUGCUCCUGAAUUCAGCGGCGGACGGGUGAGUAAUGCCUAGGAAUCUGCCUGGUAGUGGGGGACAACGUUUCGAAAGGAACGCUAAUACCGCAUACGUCCUACGGGAGAAAGCAGGGGACCUUCGGGCCUUGCGCUAUCAGAUGAGCCUAGGUCGGAUUAGCUAGUUGGUGAGGUAAUGGCUCACCAAGGCGACGAUCCGUAACUGGUCUGAGAGGAUGAUCAGUCACACUGGAACUGAGACACGGUCCAGACUCCUACGGGAGGCAGCAGUGGGGAAUAUUGGACAAUGGGCGAAAGCCUGAUCCAGCCAUGCCGCGUGUGUGAAGAAGGUCUUCGGAUUGUAAAGCACUUUAAGUUGGGAGGAAGGGCAGUAAAUUAAUACUUUGCUGUUUUGACGUUACCGACAGAAUAAGCACCGGCUAACUCUGUGCCAGCAGCCGCGGUAAUACAGAGGGUGCAAGCGUUAAUCGGAAUUACUGGGCGUAAAGCGCGCG
rnacentral:rRNA from 1 species